rnacentral:rRNA from 1 species
GGAGGAAAGCAGGGGAUCGCAAGACCUUGCGCUCAUUGAGCGGCCGAUGCCUGAUUAGCUAGUUGGUGAGGUAAAGGCUUACCAAGGCGACGAUCAGUAGCUGGUCUGAGAGGACGACCAGCCACACUGGGACUGAGACACGGCCCAGACUCCUACGGGAGGCAGCAGUGGGGAAUUUUGGACAAUGGGGGAAACCCUGAUCCAGCCAUGCCGCGUGAGUGAAGAAGGCCUUCGGGUUGUAAAGCUCUUUCAGCCGGAACGAAACGGUCACGGCUAAUACCUGUGACUACUGACGGUACCGGAAGAAGAAGCACCGGCUAAAUACGUGCCAGCAGCCGCGGGGAUACGUAGGGUGCGAGCGUUAAUCGGAAUUACUGGGCGUAAAGCGUGCGCAGGCGGUUUUGUAA